rnacentral:lncRNA from 1 species
AUGUGGCUGCCUCUGUUUAGCUCUGGACCCCAGACAGAAAAAGCCAGGAGUAUAAAAUCUAAGGGCUUCUCCACCCUGGCCACUGUCAGGCUCGGUGAUUUGCUCAAUCUACAUCAUAGAACACAGUGUGGUUCCUGGAGCACUCAUAGACCCAAAGAUACUGAGUUUAGGGGUGGUAUUAGACCCUGGCUUCUCCCCACACCAGCAAGAAAUCCCCUAGAGACUGUAGCUUCACUCCAGCAGGACACUGGGUUGGUAAGGACUCUGCAUAUAGCCUUUUAUUGAUCACAGAAAGUGCUCAGUGCAGACCUGUGAGUGAACUGAGACUUCUCUUUCUAUCAAAGUUCUCUCUCCCGAGAUAGAGCCCUAGAACCUGAACGGUAGAUCCCUUCCCUGAGCCGAGGCAAGCACUCCAACCUAGCCCAGUCUAUUUUUCCAAGAGAAGCAUUCAUUGGUGAGGAUCAGAAGAGCUCUGGCUGGGGCAGGAAAGUGCUAUCUAAACAUGUCGUGAGGCCUGUGUGUCUGGCUGGCUGUCACCCGGGCCAGGUGGGCCUCUGACACACAGCAGGAAUUUUCCAUUGGCGCAUCCUCUAGCUGGUAGGGAUCCAAGGCAUUUUCAGACUACCCCCACCCACUCUUCCUUUUCACUCCAGUUGUCUAUCCUGCCACAUGAGUAUACACCCUGGGGCCCAGAACACAAGGACCUUCAAUCCUCAGGGAGACCUCAAGGGCCCCUAUUGUAUGCCACCCAGGAACCACCUAUCAUAAGCUUAAAUACAGAAUCCUGGGUGGAGAAGGGAAGAAGCACUUUAAAAAAAAUCUACAAGGGCAAUGAAAGUGAAGUUCAGAGAGAAAUGUGACAAUAUCCAAAAUAGAUCAAAUGCUGCUUUGUCUAACCCUGAUGCAAUUCUAUUUGCAGUGAACCCAUUUCCCUAGGGUAAGAAAGAACCAAGGUCCCUGAGAGACAACCGUAAGCCACGUGAAAGAUAUCCCAAGAUGAAGUUGCAACCAACGACUGAGCCACCCAUGUAAGGAAAAUCCCAGGUCACAAAAAUGUCCAGAGCGACCAGCUGAACAUUCAGAGACACCUACUUCAUGCCAUGCCGGGCUUAGAAGUGGCAACUCUAAAACGUCUACCUCCAAAUCAACGCCUGUGGGAGGUGUCCUGCCCUCCGAGGCCUGCAUCCCACAGUGGAAGGGGUGCUUUUUAUGCUGGGACUUAUGUGCUUGUCUCUGUAACUAGAGUACUUCUUGGGUAGUACUAAGAGCCUUGACCCAGUGUAAA